GAAAUGCGAUAAUUAAUGUGAAUUGCAGAAUUCAGUGAAUCAUCGAGUCUUUGAACGCACAUUGCGCCCCCUGGUAUUCCGGGGGGCAUGCCUGUCCGAGCGUCAUUGCUGCCCUCAAGCACGGCUUGUGUGUUGGGCUUCCGUCCCUGGCAACGGGGACGGGCCCAAAAGGCAGUGGCGGCACCAUGUCUGGUCCUCGAGCGUAUGGGGCUUUGUCACCCGCUCCCGUAGGUCCAGCUGGCAGCUAGCCUCGCAACCAAUCUUUUUAACCAGGUUGACCUCGGAUCAGGUAGGGAUACCCGCUGAACUUAAGCA
rnacentral:misc_RNA from 1 species